CUCUCCCGUGAUAAUAUGCUUAUAAUUGAAUACAUAGUGAAUACAAAUUUGAGUAGUAUAAAUGUAUGAUAAUUAUAUUGUCUUUAUUUAAUAUAUAUUUUUGGAAAAGAAAACAAUUUAUUGGUCACAAGCAUAAACUAAAAAUGGGUCCCCUAGAACAACGGGUUAAAAACAAAUACAAAUUUGCUAAAGCAGUGAGAUACAACUCAAAACCCACUUGGAGAUACAAAGAAAACAAACCAUCACGUUAUCUUUAUUUAUUGCAGUUCAUUUAUAAUUCUGCAAUGACACUUUUAUUCUAAGCCUGACAUGGAAAUUUUAAUGUUAGAGAGAAAAAUAGAAAUGUGCAAUGAAGUAAUAUAAAUAUCAACUCAUUGAAAUAAAAGUAUAAGUUUAAAAGUAACAAAUUUUUGUAUCAACUUACGAUUAAAUACAAAAACAAUUAUUAUCAAUGCAUGUUGGGACAUCAGGCAGGGUACAAAUAUUUGAACAACCUGGUACGCUACAAACAGGAUGGCAAUCUGCGUCUUCUUUACAUUCUUCAAAUGCUAUGAUGUAAGCAAAAAAAAUAAAGUCAAAAAAAAGGGAUGAAAAAUUGUAUAUAAAAUUUGAGGGGAUGAGAAAAAAAGCAUACAAUAACCUUUAACUGCAACAAGAAGUACAAAAAGAUAUAUGAUCAUAAUAUAAACAAACUUAAGAAUUGCAGCCAUAUUUCUUCUCUUUUGCAUGUAACAAAUAGAUAAU
rnacentral:lncRNA from 1 species